CUGUCAACAGUGAAUCUAUGCAGAUAGAGGGCAAUGCCCCCAGCUGGUGUCCUUUUGUUUCAGGUACUUGCCAACACUGGGACAGAUCACUUCUCUAAGGUAAAACAGAUCUUUUGACACGGAAACAGACAAAAGUGAUGUAGCUCUGAGGAAGUCCGGCCCACUGCUCCCGGCGUGAACAAACCCAGCCAUUCUGCUCCGUGCCAAGCUGCCUGCUCCCAGCACUCCAUCGGUUCUCCUGGCUUUUGCUAUGGUGGUGUUUUUUUAGUCUAAGGGCUUGACUGCUGCUGGUCACCGCUUAGACAUUAUCACCGCUGAGGGGCUGUUUGAGACUUCGGCACAGCUGGGUGAAGAAUACAGACCUGGGGUACUUUCCCGAUGGUUGUUCAGGUAACACUAGUGAAAACCAGCAGUCACCAUGGCCUGCUCUGCCCUUCACUCCCAACUAUUCUCGGGGACUUCUUUUCACACCCGAAGAUAUGUCGGGCAAACAAACUUGUGUCCAAUAUAAUUAAGAGAGUUGCCACUGAUUCUGACCCUCAACCAUCUCAGCUACUUUUGGGUCUGGGGUUUAUUACAAACAUCUUUAAAGUUCACUACUGAAAAAUUAUCGUCACGCUGGGUGGUGGUGGUGCACACCAUUAAUGCCGGCACUUGGGAGGCAGAGGCAGGCGGAUCUCUGUGAGUUCGAGGCCAGCCUGGUCUACAAGAGCUAGUUCGAGGGCAGGCUCCAAAGCUACAGAGAAACCCUGUCUAGAAAUCCCCUCUCUUCAAAAACAAACUACUCAUGUGGAGAAAUUAAGGAGAAACCUUCCAAAAGUACUGGAUGGGCUGUACCCUGGUACAGUAUCCAAGAUAUAUCCAGGUAUCACGAUCACAGUGCUUGACUGAGAACUUACAGCACGCACGCGCACACACACACACACACACACACACACACACACACACACACACACAGCAAAAUAUUGAGAGAAUAUAAAGAGCACAAUGCUGACAGCCUUUCUUAGGGGAGGGUAGUUCCAUUGGUAACUACCAUCUUACGCUUAUAUUUAUCAAACAAGCAGGACAUCAAGAGAAGAUGAAGCGGAGUGACAGUGGGGUGUCAGGAUGCUUGCCUGAGCGGCACUGAGGCAGGAAUAGCUUUGGACUGAGGUGAGCCAUCAAAGGUCGAGGGAGGUGGAGGUACUAGAAAGGGUGUCCAAAGGAAGACCCAGGUGUGGGCGUCUGUGCAGCCCUUCCAGGGCAGGGGGAGCCACAGACGCUUCCACAGAAGAGUAGCUGGCACAUAUGCCUUCUUGUUAGACAGGGUGACGAGAACAGGGCCAAGAACCCAGAACAGCAAAUGGGAAGAGCCAGAAAACUACCACAACAGUCAAGACCAGGGGUGGCAGGGCCUCGCCUGAGGAGGGUGUUCCAGGGGCCAAGGGCUGGACUAUAGCUCCCCAGUGCACAGGGUUGGGGUGCAGGGGUAAGAGGUGCCCGACGUGCCUGGCAUUCCAAGGUGAGCCAGCACACUCCCAUGGCUUUCGAGGGAACUAAAGCUAAGCCCUGAUGUGAGCCUCUAGCUUCAAACUGCUACAGGAGAGACGGAACUCAAGGCCAACAGAAGGAUUUAUGUGUCUAAACUCUAAGUUUCUCUCCAUUUAAUAAUCACCUCUAGCCGGGCUACAGCCUCAUGAGAACUGGAAGCCAGACAGGCCGUGGUGGCGCACUCCUUUAAUUUCAGCACUCAGGAGGCAGAGGCAGGCGGAUCUCUGUGAGAUUUAGGCCAGCCUGGUCUAUAGAGCGAGUUCCAGGACAGUCAGAGCUGUUACACAGAGAAACCCUGUCUCAAAAAACAAAACAAAACAAAUAACCUUUAAAAUAUAAUACUUAGGGGGCUGGAGAGAUGGCUCAGAGGUUAAGAGCACUUACUGCUCUUCCAGAGGUCCUGAGUUCAAUUCCACAUGGUGGCUCGCAACCAUCCAAAAUGAGAUCUGGUGCCUU